AGAUUGAACGCUGGCGGCAGGCCUAACACAUGCAAGUCGAGCGGUAGAGAGGUGCUUGCACCUCUUGAGAGCGGCGGACGGGUGAGUAAUGCCUAGGAAUCUGCCUAGUGGUGGGGGAUAACGUUCGGAAACGGACGCUAAUACCGCAUACGUCCUACGGGAGAAAGCGGGGGACCUUCGGGCCUCGCGCCAUUAGAUGAGCCUAGGUCGGAUUAGCUAGUUGGUGAGGUAAUGGCUCACCAAGGCGACGAUCCGUAACUGGUCUGAGAGGAUGAUCAGUCACACUGGAACUGAGACGACGGUCCGAACGUACCUA
rnacentral:rRNA from 1 species